rnacentral:rRNA from 1 species
ACGAACGCUGGCGGCGUGCUUAACACAUGCCAGUCGAACGCUGAAGCACCAGCUUGCUGGUGUGGAUGAGUGGCGAACGGGUGAGUAAUACGUGAGUAACCUGCCCUUGACUCUGGGAUAAGCCCGGGAAACUGGGUCUAAUACUGGAUGCUACAUGUCACCGCAUGGUGGUGUGUGGAAAGGGUUUACUGGUCUUGUAUGGGCUCACGGCCUAUCAGCUUGUUGGUGAGGUAAUGGCUCACCAAGGCGACGACGGGUAGCCGGCCUGAGAGGGUGACAGGCGACACUGAGACUGAGACAAGGCACAGACACGUAAGGGAGGGAGAAGGGGGGAAGAUUGAAGAAGGAGCGAAAGGCGGAUGAAGAGAGGCCGCGGAAGGGAUGACGGUGUUAGGGUUGAAGAACAAAUGCAGAAGGGAAGAAGCAAGAAGUGACGGUACCUGAAGAAGAAGCGACGGCUAACUACGUG